AGCGGACAGAUGGGAGCUUGCUCCCUGAUGUUAGCGGCGGACGGGUGAGUAACACGUGGGUAACCUGCCUGUAAGACUGGGAUAACUCCGGGAAACCGGGGCUAAUACCGGAUGGUUGUUUGAACCGCAUGGUUCAAACAUAAAAGGUGGCUUCGGCUACCACUUACAGAUGGACCCGCGGCGCAUUAGCUAGUUGGUGAGGUAACGGCUCACCAAGGCAACGAUGCGUAGCCGACCUGAGAGGGUGAUCGGCCACACUGGGACUGAGACACGGCCCAGACUCCUACGGGAGGCAGCAGUAGGGAAUCUUCCGCAAUGGACGAAAGUCUGACGGAGCAACGCCGCGUGAGUGAUGAAGGUUUUCGGAUCGUAAAGCUCUGUUGUUAGGGAAGAACAAGUACCGUUCGAAUAGGGCGGUACCUUGACGGUACCUAACCAGAAAGCCACGGCUAACUACGUGCCAGCAGCCGCGGUAAUACGUAGGUGGCAAGCGUUGUCCGGAAUUAUUGGGCGUAAAGGGCUCGCAGGCGGUUUCUUAAGUCUGAUGUGAAAGCCCCCGGCUCAACCGGGGAGGGUCAUUGGAAACUGGGGAACUUGAGUGCAGAAGAGGAGAGUGGAAUUCCACGUGUAGCGGUGAAAUGCGUAGAGAUGUGGAGGAACACCAGUGGCGAAGGCGACUCUCUGGUCUGUAACUGACGCUGAGGAGCGAAAGCGUGGGGAGCGAACAGGAU
rnacentral:rRNA from 1 species